GGGGGUAUAGCUCAGUUGGUAGAGCAGCAGACUCUUAAUCUGCGGGUCUAGGGUUCGAGCCCCUAUGCCCCCA
rnacentral:tRNA from 1 species